GCCUGGUGGCUCAGUGGUUAGAGCGCCGGCCUUUGGACCGGAGGGUCUCGGGUUUGAUUCCUGGUCAGAGGCA
rnacentral:tRNA from 1 species